rnacentral:rRNA from 1 species
UACGUAGGGGGCAAGCGUUGUCCGGAAUCAUUGGGCGUAAAGAGCGCGUAGGCGGUCCGGUAAGUCCGCUGUGAAAGUCAAGGGCUCAACCCUUGAAUGCCGGUGGAUACUGUCGGGCUAGAGUCCGGAAGAGGCGAGUGGAAUUCCCGGUGUAGCGGUGAAAUGCGCAGAUAUCGGGAAGAACACCCGUGGCGAAGGCAGCUCUCUGGGACGGUACUGACACUGAGACGCGAAAGCGUGGGGAGCGAACAGG